UGGGGAAUAUUGGACAAUGGGCGCAAGCCUGAUCCAGCAAUGCCGCGUGAGUGAUGAAGGCCUUAGGGUUGUAAAGCUCUUUUCGCACGCGACGAUGAUGACGGUAGCGUGAGAAGAAGCCCCGGCUAACUUCGUGCCAGCAGCCGCGGUAAUACGAAGGGGGCUAGCGUUGUUCGGAAUUACUGGGCGUAAAGGGCGCGUAGGCGGCCUGUUUAGUCAGAAGUGAAAGCCCCGGGCUCAACCUGGGAAUAGCUUUUGAUACUGGCAGGCUUGAGUUCCGGAGAGGAUGGUGGAAUUCCCAGUGUAGAGGUAAAUUCGUAGAUAUUGGAAGAACACCGGUGGCGAAGGCGGCCAUCUGGACGGACACUGACGCUGAGGCGCGAAAGCGUGGGGAGCAAACAGGAUUAGAUACCCUGGUAGUCCACGCCGUAGACGAUGAAUGCUAGACGUCGGGGUGCAUCAGCUUCGGUGUCGCCGCUAACGCA
rnacentral:rRNA from 1 species